rnacentral:lncRNA from 1 species
UUCUACUCCUGUCCCUCUUUUGUCACUCCUAUCUUCCUGUUUUCCAGGCUUCAUGACCACACUGCUGUAGGAAGCCAUAAGUUGGAAAUCAACGGGCCUGGCUUGAAGUGUGGCCUUAGGCAACACCGUUCUCAUCUACAUCUGGAUUCUCCAACAAAGCUGGGAAAAAAACGAUCCAAGGGAAGCCAAUCAAAGAGCCUGGAUUGCCAGUCUUCCCUGCUGCGAUCUCCGCCUGCGAUUCUCCAGGGGAAAUGUCCUUUAUGACCUUACAGCUCACCUGGAACCCUCCACCUAGGGCCCGAGGCAGCACAUCCUCUCGUGCCCGGGCACACACACUGGGCUGGACCACUCACCGGAGUGAAUAAGGAGGCUUGAAGCUGUCCUGGUACAACAAUGGAAUGAAGCGCUAGUCUCAGCUCAGCCACUUGGAAUAUGACUCCAACUCUCACAUUUCUGUGGGGUGUAUUCAUUUCAGCUUUUUGUUUGGUGCUAUGGGGAGGGAAGGGCCCUCAGACUGGCAUCCUUUUUCUUCCAGGAUGAUGAUGAAUAUUAUGAAAGUCUGAGGCUGUUUUUAAAAUUCUGCUCUAAUACGUUGUUUUUCUGUGCAUAAGAAUUAUGUAUUCUUAGCUGCAAAACUGGAAUCCGUCUGCUCAUGGAUAAACUUCUGGCCAUGAGCAUGUACCUUUCAGGUAACUUCCCUAUCAGAGAAGCUUACAAUCAAGAAUCCUACUUCCCUAGUUCCCUACACAGGCCCAGGAGGCUUUUGGUGGUAUCCGCUGGACUUUUGAAAAUUAGGGAAUUUCUCCUACUCUGAACUCUACCAGGAAUCACAUAUCAAGAUCUCAGUACCAUCUUACCUAGACCCUCUUGACCUCUUCUUUCUCCAUAAUCUCUUU